GUAACCGUAACACAGUAAUACAAUGUUUUACUUAAAAAGUGAAAUUAUUUUAUCUGAGUCUACCCUUUGAAGUUGAAUGGUAAUUUCUAUUUAAGAGAUGAGAAAACAGUUUCAUAGAGUUUAAGUGACUUACUCUAGAUUAGUAGCUUUUAAUCUUGUUUGACUAUUACCCAUAAGAAAUAUAGUUAAUUUCCUGACCUAGUAUAUAUAUAAAUAUCCCCCAGUACCACCCCACACACAUAUAAUUAAAACAGCACUUGCUUAUACUCUAUGUAAUGUUCUAUUCUUUUUUGUUAAAAAAAAUACUUGUCACUAAAUUGACUUGUUAAUGGGUCCUGACCCACAGUUUGAAAAACACUGCUUUAAAUGCUACAUUUGUGAUACCAGAAGGACUGCAACUCACAUCUUACUGGGUUUCUGUGAAGUUCCUUUCAUGACAUUGGCAAGGAGUUGAUGGUGGUGGUGGUUAUUGUCUUUGAUAGUCAGAUAUGUGGGUUUAUUUUAACAAAGAAUUUAAUUAUCCUUUUUUCCUUCAGUCUAAGUCAAAGUCUGUCUUCUGUAGUAUUUCUUAUUAAAGAUGGAACAAAUAUUUAAAGCCAUCACAUGCAUUGCGUAAGUUUUCUCUUUUAGUACUUGUAUGUCUUCCUACCAGGACCUUUUUGACAAGGAUUACAUAAUGACCAAUAUUAGACUCUUCUGUAUCAUGUCCUUUGACAACACUCUCUGGUCACUAUAACAGAAGAGUAAAGAUAAUGGUUUACUGAGGUACUUUGCCAGUUGUAGGUUUACCACUCACUAUUCUUUUGUACCUUUUUUUAUGUUGCUGAUCAUUAUUAGAAAGACAAGGCAACUUGUAUAACUUGUUUUAUUAAAAAAGUGAACUAUAUGCUUAUUUGGCUAGAGUAUAUAAGACAAAAAAAUAAGGAAUUAAAGUUCCCCAAGCCUAGCUUCAUUUAAGCAACUUAAACUUACUUCAGGAACAACUCUUGGACUCUCUGGCAUUUAAAAAAAAUUGUGCCAAGAUGACAUUGGGUAACUACUAAGUAAAUAAAAAUCAUCAAAAAAGUGGAAUGCCUUUGGUAACGUGGACAUCUUCUUGCUGUAUCUUCACGUGGGUAG
rnacentral:lncRNA from 1 species